rnacentral:rRNA from 1 species
CUACGGGAGGCAGCAGUGGGGAAUAUUGGACAAUGGGCGAAAGCCUGAUCCAGCCAUGCCGCGUGUGUGAAGAAGGUCUUCGGAUUGUAAAGCACUUUAAGUUGGGAGGAAGGGCAGUAAGUUAAUACCUUGCGUUUGACGUUACCGACAGAAUAAGCACCGGCUAACUCUGUGCCAGCAGCCGCGGUAAUU